rnacentral:rRNA from 1 species
GAACUGAAGAGUUUGAUCAUGGCUCAGAUUGAACGCUGGCGGCAGGCCUAACACAUGCAAGUCGAGCGGAUGAAGGGAGCUUGCUCCUGGAUUCAGCGGCGGACGGGU